UGCGCAGGCGGCUUAUUAAGUCAGUGGUGAAAUCUCUCGGUUCAACCGAGAAACUGCCAUUGAAACUGAUAAGCUUGAGUGUAGUUGUAGUAGGCGGAAUAUAGCAUGUAGCGGUGAAAUGCUUAGAUAUGCUAUAGAACACCGAUCGCGAAGGCAGCUUACUAAACUAUCACUGACGCUCAUGCACGAAAGCGUGGGGAGCAAACAGGAUUAGAUACCCUGGUAGUCC
rnacentral:rRNA from 1 species